rnacentral:rRNA from 1 species
UACGUAGGGUGCAAGCGUUAUUCGGAAUUACUGGGCGUAAAGCGUGCGCAGGCGGUUUUGUAAGUCUGUCGUGAAAUCCCCGGGCUUAACCUGGGAAUGGCGAUGGUGACUGCGAGGCUAGAGUUUGGCAGAGGGGGGUAGAAUUCCACGUGUAGCAGUGAAAUGCGUAGAGAUGUGGAGGAACACCGAUGGCGAAGGCAGCCCCCUGGGUCAAGACUGACGCUCAUGCACGAAAGCGUGGGGAGCAAACAGG